rnacentral:rRNA from 1 species
UACGUAGGGGGCGAGCGUUGUCCGGAAUCAUUGGGCGUAAAGCGCGUGUAGGCGGCCCGGUAAGUCCGCUGUGAAAGUCCAGGGCUCAACCCUGGGAUGCCGGUGGAUACUGUCGGGCUCGAGUCCGGAAGAGGCGAGUGGAAUUCCUGGUGUAGCGGUGAAAUGCGCAGAUAUCAGGAGGAACACCGGUGGCGAAGGCGGUUCUCUGGGCCUUACCUGACGCUGAGGAGCGAAAGCGUGGGGAGCAAACAGG